UACAGAGGUCUCAAGCGUUGUUCGGAUUCAUUGGGCGUAAAGGGUGCGUAGGUGGCGGGGGUAAGUCAGGUGUGAAAUCUCGGGGCUCAACCCCGAAACUGCACUUGAUACUGCCUUGCUCGAGUACUGGAGAGGAGAUUGGAAUUUACGGUGUAGCAGUGAAAUGCGUAGAUAUCGUAAGGAACACCAGUGGCGAAGGCGGCUCACUGGCCCGGUACUGACGCUGAGGUGCGAAAGCGUGGGGAGCAAACAGG
rnacentral:rRNA from 1 species